GGCGAAGGUGCUCUCUGUGCCGGGACAGAGGAAGGCCAGUUUGUCCAAUAUAAAAGGAAGCCAAGUUCACGGACAUGCGUUCUCAGAAAGCCUGGCCCAGCCCCGUUUCUGAAAAGCUGACCUCUCCAGCGAGUACAACGAACACUGACCACCCAGGUUCACAAUGACCAAUUCACGGCCAGUCUUGUUUCAGCGGCACCUCCGCCACCUCUCCCUCCUGCGUUAUUAUUCUGAAGCACACCCCAGACGUGCCACUCCAUCUGCAAAAAUCUGUGUGUCUCCCUCUCGAUGAGGGAGGCCCACUUCCACCCGCCCCGGUUCUCACCACCAGGA